AUUGAACGCUGGCGGCAGGCUUAACACAUGCAAGUCGAGCGGUAACAGAGAGAAGCUUGCUUCUCUGCUGACGAGCGGCGGACGGGUGAGUAAUGCCUAGGAAUCUGCCUAGUAGUGGGGGAUAACUUGCCGAAAGGUAAGCUAAUACCGCAUACGUCCUACGGGAGAAAGGAGGGGACCUUCGGGCCUUUCGCUAUUAGAUGAGCCUAGGUCGGAUUAGUUAGUUGGUGAGGUAAUGGCUCACCAAGACCGCGAUCCGUAACUGGUCUGAGAGGAUGAUCAGUCACACUGGAACUGAGACACGGUCCAGACUCCUACGGGAGGCAGCAGUGGGGAAUAUUGGACAAUGGGGGGAACCUUGAUCCAGCUAUGCCGCGUGUGUGAAGAAGGUCUUAGGAUUGUAAAGCACUUUAAGUUGGGAGGAAGAGCAGUUAACUAAUAUUUGACUGUUUUGACGUUACCGACAGAUUAAGCACCGGCUAACUUCGUGCCAGCCGCCGCGGUAA
rnacentral:rRNA from 1 species